rnacentral:lncRNA from 1 species
UGUUAGCCAGGAUGGUCUCCAUCUCCUGACCUCGUGAUCCUUGCAAAGGGACAUGCAGACCACAUUAGUGAGAAUAUGUGCCUGUAUUUUGCAAUCUGUAACAUGGGCAUAAACUAAAUGUUUUCCAAAGGGAAUAGGGCAAAACAAAAAGGACCUUGACCACUCCUUGGCCCUGAAUAAAUCCAGGAAGCCUAAGAGUAUGACUAUCCUGAGGUAGAAAGAGGGUCACAUGCUGGAUAAGAGGUACCUGGGCUCUCCACUUACAAGAAGAGAGCAUGGUUACAUUUAUAAUCACCAUUCCCAACAUGCUGUGAGUGCAGGCAGCUACCAGGAGGAGAACAAAGGAAAUAACCAGGACACUCAUCUCUAAACCUGUUAAUUUAAUCACACGGAACACUUCUAUUUAAAAUUCCCGAGAGUUAAGAUGUAAGAAUGCUUAUCAAGGUAAAUGCUGUUCACACUGCUUGGAGUGUCAGGCCUAGAUCUCUAUCCAUCAGAAACAACAAUAUCAAUAACAACAACAGCAACAUGAUGAUGGGGCAAUUUCUUAAAAGCACCGUGUAUUUUAUCGAUACAUGUCCGUUGCAGAAAAUCCAGGUGAAUCCAAAGAAGAAAUAAAUGUCUUCCACAAUCCCAUAGCCCAGAGCUAACUAACCACUAUAAAGAACCCAGCGUGGUUUUAACUAAUGGAUCAAAAGAUGCUCAUCAAAGGCUCUGAGCUUUCCUGAGUGCUAACAGGAAACAUCCAGCAUCACUGGUCUCUCCAAGGCUGCAGGUGUCUUUGCCCAUAGUGCCUGUUUUGUGUCAGGGAAAGAAUCAACCUGGGAGCCAAGCCCAGGAAUCAGGAUGACCAAGACAUACUGCACAAGGAGGGAACAAACCCAUCCAAGGACACUCAAGGACAAAUCAAGCAAAUGAAUUUAAGGGAGACAUGCUCAUGGUCUGCUUUGCUGCUCAGCAUGGCUGGGAGGCACAGUGGAAGAUCAUGCAUCCUGCCCCUGGGACUCCUCUGCCAGAGCCUGAGAGCUUUCUCCUGCCCACAGGCUAGGGGUAGGGCAGUUGGAAUUGAUCCAUGCCUUCUAGCUAGACUGUGGGUCCCCUCAGUCUUGGGCAUGGUGACAGCCCAGCAUCAGACAGACGUCAGUAUCAAACUAGAAAAUUUAAUAAAUACUGUCAGAUUUGUAGACCCAAGAAAAUAUAAACUGCCAAUCACGGAGGAAAAAAAAUCUCUCAAUGAUCUUAUCUUUAUAUGAUUCCCUUGCUGCCUGGAGAUUGACAUUUCCUUGGGGAUAAUCUGGUCAUAGGAUUGGUGAAGGUGGAAGGGAGGCAACCUCCAAAGGUGGGGCCCUCUGCUCACCUGGGACAGGGAGGGCCUGAGGUAGGUGUCUGUGUGGGCUGGGGAGGAGGAUGGGAGCAGUGCUUCUAGAUGUUUCCACUUUCUCCUCAUUAGAUAAUAACGAAUGGGUGAUUUCCCUAGUCACUGCAGUGUGAGGAAAUCUACAAAAUUAAUUUCACAAUACGCUUUACAGGAUAGGUGGAGAAACACAUGAAGCACAACUGCAGUGGGUUAUAAAAAACGGCCUUUCGAGUUGAGCAAUAAAUUCGUUCAAGCAGCCAUUCUGAAGGACAAACUGGCUCUGUAUUUAAGAGGGGCAUUCCAGCACUUCUCUAGCCACUGGGUUGACAAUGACUCACCAAAGCCUCUGGUAGCCACCACAGGACACCCAGAGCAUAUGUUUUAAAGCUGAACACCAAACUGCGGACUUCGGGAGGUCAUCAGCCUUCAAGCUUCAGUCUCUGUGUGUUCACAGGUGCUGUAAACACACGCAUCACUACUAAUAUCCCACUUCAGUGCUAUUGCUGCUCCCAAAACUCCAGCUGGCACACUUUUUCCAGUAGCCAUUCUACUUGGUAUGCUUACUUAUCAGCUGUCCUCCAGGGGCCUCACAUUAGAUGUUUCUCUGACUAACCAAACAUGACACACAGCUGAAGUCAGAAAAACCAGAUUGAUAAUUUCACUCAAACUAUUUUCCUUCAUUCUAACAAUUUA